UAGUCCAAGCGGUAAACGAUGGGUACUAGGUGUCGGGGGUAUCGACCCCUCCGGUGCCGGAGCUAACGCAUUAAGUACCCCGCCUGGGGAGUACGGUCGCAAGAUUAAAACUCAAAGGAAUAGACGGGGACCCGCACAAGUGGUGGAGCAUGUGGUUUAAUUCGAAGAUACGCGAAGAACCUUACCUAGCCUUGACAUAUUAAAGAACACUUUAGAGAUAGAGUGGUGCCUUCGGGAGCUUUUAUACAGGUGCUGCACGGCUGUCGUCAGCUCGUGUCGUGAGAUGUUGGGUUAAGUCCCGCAACGAGCGCAACCCUCGUCACUAGUUACUAACGGUUCGGCCGAGGACUCUAGUGAGACUGCCUUCGCAAGGAGGAGGAAGGUGAGGACGACGUCAAGUCAUCAUGGCCCUUACGGCUAGGGCAACACACGUGCUACAAUGGCCAGGACAAUGAGAAGCGAUACCGCGAGGUGGAGCAAAUCUAUAAACCUGGUACUCAGUUCGGAUUGUAGUCUGC
rnacentral:rRNA from 1 species